UAUGAGAUGAGCUUCGGAUCCAUCUAAAAGCCCAGGCAUAAUUUUUAUGGCUAAGUAUCAAAUGUCUGUGUGAUCCUGCACAGUAAUUGGAGGUGUCCCGGUGUAGGGGAGCCACUGCAGGGACUGAUUCUGCAUCAGGUCUGGGAAAUCUGCUUCUGAAUACUGUUAAACUCUUGUGUUUUCCUGGAUACAACAAAAAACAUACAAGUUCCAUGACAGACCUUUUAUGUUUAGGUUUUAUUUUUUAAAUUCUGUAUGAAAAUUAUCCAUGACUGUAUUUCUUACCAACUAUCUAGACGACAUACGCCUAAUGUAGUGAUGCUUUUCCUUUCUACCAGGUUUUUGCUGAAGAGGGUUUGAAGCUUGCUUCAAGUGUGCAAGCUUUCUCAAAACAGCUGAAAGAUGAUGAUAAGCUUAUGCUUCUCCUGGAAAUAAACAAGCUUGUUCCUCUGUGCCACCAGCUCCAGGCAGUAACUAAGACACCUUUGCAGAAUCAAGUGUUUCUAAAGGUUGAUAAGAGUAUUACAAAGACAAGAUGCAUAAUGGCUACUUUGGUCCAACUUCUCUCACUUUGCUAUAAACUGCUGAAGAAGCUUAUCAUUGACUAUACCAAUUUGCAGCAGAAGAGACAAGUAGUCUGGGUGAUGCAGGGUUGUCCUUAAACCUGUGGACUCCUCCUCAAUCCCUCCGUCCACUGAGUAUGACUGGGCCUCCGCUGUCCCCUCUGUCACAGAUCAUCCAUGCCGGGAGCACACGUUUGUUCUCUAGUAAGGGCUUCACGGAGCACAGGAAAUCUGUUGUGAUGCAUGUCCCUCUCUCCACGGAAUCCUGGAGGAACUCACUAGCAGAUGGUUUUAGUUCUCGUUAUAGCAUAGCUGGUCUGUCUGCCCUGAAUAUUAGCUGGAAUCCUAAGCUUAUUUUACUGGCUUAAAAAGCAGUCUUUGUACAUCUCAGUAGUAACUGAUGGAACAGAAGAUAGAACACAGAGAACAAUUGAACUAAGCUGAUCAAAAUAAUUUGAGUAAGUAUACAUAUGUGCCUUUGGAAUAUUCAUUAAAUAAAUGACUUUAGUCUUUUUAAUUUUAGGGUUUAAAGCUUUUGUUUUUGUGGGGUGGGUUUUGAUUGAAGGAUCUGGUUAUAAGUUCUGUCUUUAUGGUGUAGUAUAGUUAACUUUGUUUUUUGUGCUUGUAUCCCGAUGCUCUGAAAUUUAUUUUGAAAUCUAACGGGACAUGUCAGUUGCCGAAUGGCAGUAGUUCUGUAGGCUCGUCUGAUGAUCGGCAUCUGGGUCAGCCAUCACAGUCAAUGUUCACAAGAUCCUGAAGAACCACCAGUUAGCUAGUCAAUAUUUUAUUGAAGGAAACUUGAAUUUACUAUAGGCCUUGGAGAGAAAAUGGGAUGCACUCAGCUUGGUUAUGACCUUUAUAAAAUAUUUCUUUAUAAAAAUCAUCAAACAUGAUUUUUAUGCCCUGAAACCAAAAUACUCUUUUAAAUUACAAUGGAAAUAAUGGGAAAAUGAUGUGAGGUAAUGUUAUAUGUAAAUAGAUAUAUAAUUCUUUUACUAUCUUUAGUAUCUUUGUUUUAUGACACCUUUGGGAACCAUUUGUGCUACCUGAAAUGGGAAUUUGCUGGUUUGUGCUUACACUUUCAGCUCAUAGCACUAUCAGAGUAGAUGUUUCUAUAGUUACUACCUGUAUCAUGUCCACUGGGUAUACUUAGGGGAGAGUUAGGGUUAAAAGAAGUUUCCUUGCGAGUCAAAAAUAAUUUUAAAAUUUUAUUUACAAAAUAUUUUACAUAACUCAAAUGAGAAUAUUCUCUUAUUUAAAUGCAAGUAGGGGUAGGGAAGGGAUAACAUGACUUGAACAGCAAAAGAUGAUGCAGAACUAAAAGAAUUUAUACUCAAGGAUAAUUGUUUUAUUUAAAAACAGAAAUGUUUAUAUGUAUGUAUAUGUUGCAGCUCUUAAGGAAAAAUACCAAUGUGGAAAGUCCUUUUAUUUGAAAUUCAAUGUAAACAAGUAUACAAUCUUAAACCAUGAAUUCAUAGUUUUUCGUUUAUUGUUUAAAUGAUGUGAAAGCUUUUGUUCUGUUCAAAAGCAUGUGUGUCUUUGAAUUCCAGGAACCUCUCGGGAACUUCUUUGCUGGUUACCCUGUAACUAGAGUGUGA